AGGAAUAUGGCUUAGUAGUAGAGUGCUUGCCUAGUAUGCAUGAAGCCCUGGGUUCGAUUCCUCAGUACUA
rnacentral:tRNA from 1 species